rnacentral:rRNA from 1 species
AAUCAACGCUGGCGGCGUGCCUAACACAUGCAAGUCGAACGGGAAAGGGGCUUCGGCCCUGAGUAGAGUGGCGGACGGGUGAGUAACACGUGGGUGAUCUGCCCUCCAGUGGGGGAUAACCCGCCGAAAGGCGGGCUAAUACCGCAUGGAGUUGCAGUUGUCAUGACUGCAAUGAAAGCAGCAAUGCGCUGGGGGAGGAGCCCGCGCCGGAUUAGCUAGUUGGUAGGGUAACGGCCUACCAAGGCUACGAUCCGUAGCCGGCCUGAGAGGGUGACCGGCCACACUGGAACUGAGUCACGGUCCAGACUCCUACGGGAGGCAGCAGUGGGGAAUUUUGCGCAAUGGGGGAAACCCUGACGCAGCAACGCCGCGUGGACGAUGAAGGCCCUUGGGUCGUAAAGUCCUGUCAGCAGGGAAAAACACAAUGAUGGUACCUGCAGAGGAAGCUCCGGCUAACUUCGUGCCAGCCGCCGCGGUAAGAC